rnacentral:ribozyme from 1 species
AAGAGAAGGCCAGGACUUCUGAUAUUUCUAUUAGUUGUUCUUUUAGUUGUAGUCUUCUGGCCUGCAUUUUUCCUUCCUUUCUUUUUUUACUGCUGGUAUGAUAUUUAUCAUAACUGUGGAAAGUGUAAAGCA